rnacentral:rRNA from 1 species
AGACCCGAAACCCGGUGAUCUAGCCAUGGGCAGGUUGAAGGUUGGGUAACACUAACUGGAGGACCGAACCGACUAAUGUUGAAAAAUUAGCGGAUGACCUGUGGCUGGGGGUGAAAGGCCAAUCAAACCGGGAGAUAGCUGGUUCUCCCCGAAAGCUAUUUAGGUAGCGCCUCGUGAAUUCAUCUCCGGGGGUAGAGCACUGUUUCGGCUAGGGGGUCAUCCCGACUUACCAACCCGAUGCAAACUGCGAAUACCGGAGAAUGUUAUCACGGGAGACACACGGCGGGUGCUAACGUCCGUCGUGAAGAGGGAAACAACCCAGACCGCCAGCUAAGGUCCCAAAGUCAUGGUUAAGUGGGAAACGAUGUGGGAAGGCCCAGACAGCCAGGAUGUUGGCUUAGAAGCAGCCAUCAUUUAAAGAAAGCGUAAUAGCUCACUGGUCGAGUCGGCCUGCGCGGAAGAUGUAACGGGGCUAAACCAUGCACCGAAGCUGCGGCAGCGACACUGUGUGUUGUUGGGUAGGGGAGCGUUCUGUAAGCCUGUGAAGGUGGCCUGUGAGGGUUGCUGGAGGUAUCAGAAGUGCGAAUGCUGACAUAAGUAACGAUAAAGCGGGUGAAAAGCCCGCUCGCCGGAAGACCAAGGGUUCCUGUCCAACGUUAAUCGGGGCAGGGUGAGUCGACCCCUAAGGCGAGGCCGAAAGGCGUAGUCGAUGGGAAACGGGUUAAUAUUCCCGUACUUGGUGUUACUGCGAAGGGGGGACGGAGAAGGCUAUGUUGGCCGGGC